rnacentral:tRNA from 2 species
CGGAUGUAGUUCAAUGGUAGAACAUCAGCUUCCCAAGCUGAAUACGCGGGUUCGAUUCCCGUCAUCCG